rnacentral:ncRNA from 1 species
UACUUAAGUUCGAUCCAUGAAGACUGAAGUGGAGAAGGGUUCCACGUGAACAGUGGUUGAAUGUGGGUCAGUCGAUCCUAAGAUACUGGCUCAUGCCUUGUACCAUUGAGAGGGAAAAGUUUCUUUUCUCUCGGAUAUCAAAUGGGAAUAGGGUUAAGAUUCCCUACGGCUCUUUGAGUCUUCCUUCCCUGCGGCUGUUUGAGUCGCCUGCGCGGUAACGCAUUCGAAAUUGGUUACGUCGCUCAGAGACCGAGCUAGAGUUCUCUUCUCCAGUUAAGGAACGGACUCCCUAGAAUCGGUUCAGCCGUAGAUAGGGACAUUGUUUCCGUAAAGCAUCGCGGUUUCUGUGAGGUACCCUAUCUAUGGUAUAUCGGUCGUAACCCUACAAAAAUAGGGUGACGGUACAGAAGGAAGACUGUGUUCGUCAUCAACACCCCAAAUUGUACCUCCUUCUCCCGAAAACCCCGAGUA